rnacentral:rRNA from 1 species
AACUUCAAGAUAAGAUUUCCCACCGCAAGGGUAAGACCCCAGAAAGACUAUCUGGUUGAUAGGUCGAAGGUGUAAGUGCAGCAAUGUAUUUAGCUUAUCGAUACUAAUAGUAUGUGUAGUUUUUAG